UACGGAGGGAGCUAGCGUUGUUCGGAAUUACUGGGCGUAAAGCGCGCGUAGGCGGCUUUGUAAGUUAGAGGUGAAAGCCCGGAGCUCAACUCCGGAACUGCCUUUAAAACUGCAUCGCUUGAAUCCAGGAGAGGUGAGUGGAAUUCCGAGUGUAGAGGUGAAAUUCGUAGAUAUUCGGAAGAACACCAGUGGCGAAGGCGGCUCACUGGACUGGUAUUGACGCUGAGGUGCGAAAAGCGUGGGGGAGCCGAACAGG
rnacentral:rRNA from 1 species